CAGGGAAUAUUGCACAAUGGGCGGAAGCCUGAUGCAGCGACGCCGCGUGAGUGAUGAAGGCCUUCGGGUUGUAAAACUCUUUUCGGGGGGAAGAGAGCGGACGGUACCCUCGGAAUAAGCGUCGGCUAACUACGUGCCAGCAGCCGCGGUAAUACGUAGGACGCGAGCGUUAUCCGGAUUUACUGGGCGUAAAGCGUCUGUAGGCGGAGGGGUAAGUUGGGCGUGAAAGCUCCGGGCUUAACUCGGAGAGGACGUUCAAUACUAACCGACUAGAGGGCGUGAGAGGGGAGCGGAAUUCGCGGUGUAGCGGUAAAAUGCGCAGAUAUCGGGAGGAACACCAGUGGCGCAGGCGGCUCCCUGGUACGCACCUGACGCUGGGAGACGAAAGCUAGGGGAGCAAAC
rnacentral:rRNA from 1 species